UUUUGGUUGCAGUAUUUCAUGUUCGAAUCCGAGAAAAACACGCAUUGCACAAUAAACUAAUGAACCGGUCGCAUUUAUUAGGCCUACACUAUAUUAUAUAUGACUAUAUUACUGACAUUCCAGGAUGGUAUGUCUUGCUAGUGAGAUUUAACUGAAGCUGAACUGCCCACAGCUGACAUUAAUUUCACAGACAGAUGUUGCAUGUGCCUAGUGCAGCCUUCAAACUUCCUGCUAAACAAGAUUUACUCCGAGAGUAACAACAGUUCAUUACGACACGACACCACUAUGGAACUUCAUCAUUUUUCGGAUGUAUAGCUUCAUUAGCCUGAUGAAGACGGUGGCCAGUGCAGGAAUUAAAGCACAGACUUCGUCGAGUUUGAAUGCGGAUGUUCUCCUCGACGCAUGUGAGACUGAUAAGGAACUGGAACCUCGGGAUGAGCUCCUUUUAAAGCAGCCGCGCUUCUGCAGAUUUCUAAAUAAAAUGGGGAGCACAGUGAUGGACUCCAAGAAAAAGGACUGCACAAAGAAAUCCUCAAAGAAAAAGAGAUCUCUGCGACUAAACAUGCCAAAUUUGGGUACAUUUGCAUCCCCUUUUGUGGAUGGAGAGACUGACAGAUCAGAUGAAGAUGAAAUCCGAAAGGGUGAGAGAAGUGGCUCAGCCAGCCCAACAAAAGGCCCAUGUUUAAGGUCUCCUGUCAGCCUCCCCUGUACCCCAGUUACAGCCCAUGUAUGUCCCAGGAGCAGUCCAGGCUCUCCCAAAACCAUCUUCUCCCGUCUGUCUCACCAGAAUUCGUCUCCCAAAUCUCCCCGUCGUCUCAGUUUCAGUGGUAUCUUCCGCUCCUCUUCCAACUCCACUCCUGCCAGCAUCAAGCUCUUCUCCAGAUCUAGAAAAGGUUCUGGAAUUUCCACUUCCCCCACCACCCCGACGCAGCAUCCAGUUCCACCAAUCUUCCCUUUGGAGACUCCCAGUCCUUCGGAACAUGUGGAGGAACGUCGCACCCGCUCGCUUUCCUCUCCCCCUGAUACAGGUCAGCGCUUCAGCCUGACCCCCUCCUCCACCAAACCCCCUAUCGCCUUGUACACCUCUAACUCUACCUCACGCCAGAGUUGCAGACUUGCUGAAGGCAUGCUGGAAAAACUUGAACUUGAUGAUGAAGCUUCUGAAGAGCCAGACAGUGACAUUUACAUGCGCUUUAUAAAAUCCCACAAGUGCUAUGACCUCAUCCCCACCAGUUCCAAACUAGUGGUCUUUGACACUACACUACAGGUAAAGAAAGCUUUCUUUGCCCUGGUUGCUAAUGGAGUUCGGGCUGCCCCAUUAUGGGAAACAAAAAAGCAAAGCUUUGUGGGAAUGUUAACCAUCACAGAUUUCAUCAUCAUACUGCACAGAUACUACAAGUCACCACUGGUGCAAAUAUAUGAGCUGGAGGAGCAUAAAAUCCAGACUUGGAGAGAACUUUACCUGCAAGAAACUUUUAAACCUUUAGUCAACAUAUCUCCAGAUGCAAGUAUAUUCGAUGCCGUUUACUCCCUCAUCAAAAAUAAGAUCCAUCGUUUGCCGGUGAUCGAUCCUGUCACAGGAAAUGCUCUGUAUAUCCUCACACACAAGAGAAUCCUCAAGUUUCUGCAGCUCUUUGUGUGUGAGAUGCCUAAACCAGCAUUCAUGAGACAGACUCUAGAGGAACUGGGCAUUGGCACAUAUAGCAACAUAGCUUUCAUUCACCCAGACACACCCAUUAUUAAAGCACUGGGCAUCUUUGUGGAAAGAAGAGUAUCUGCCCUGCCUGUGGUGGAUGUUACAGGAAAGGUUGUGGACAUUUACUCCAAAUUUGAUGUCAUUAACCUGGCUGCUGAGAAGACCUACAAUAACCUGGACAUCACCGUGACCCAGGCUCUGCUGCAUCGCACACAAUACUUUGAGGGGGUUAUGAAGUGUUACCGGCAUGAGACUCUGGAGACGAUAGUGGACAGAAUCGUCAAAGCCGAGGUGCACAGGCUAGUUGUGGUGGAUGAUAACUCCAGUAUUAAGGGCAUCAUCUCUCUGUCUGACAUCCUGCAGGCGCUGGUACUCACCCCCGCAGGUAUAGACGCACAGAAUUCCUAAUCCCAUCUUCCAUUUCACUUUUCCUUCUCUCCUCUCAACUUUUCCCCGGACCCACCUCUCCUCUCCCUGGACAUCCUUCACAUGAGUGUCCCUCUCUGACCCCCUGAGCACAGGAGGGACAGUGUGACUGAAUGACAAGACAAAAGACAAUUUUUGGGUGUAAGAGAGAUGCAAGAAAUUUUCCACUUUGAGAACCGACUGGUCCAGACAGCGUUCCUAACACUGAUCCUGAUCUGCACACGGAAGAGAACAGCUGGAAGCACACAAAUGCAUUGUAGAUCUUCAUUUAAGUGUUGAAAUGGGGUUGUGCCCUGCACGAUAUCUGCAGCUGUAAUAAUGGACAUGUGAUCAUAGCGCACAAAUGUUUAUGGUGGGCCAGCACUCAGAAUCUGCCUGUACACACGCCUGCUCUAAAUGCUGGGCAUGUUUGCAUGGUCAUGCUGCUGGUUUUAAAAUCUGUCACUGACAUCACUAAAUCAGGCCCGAAGAUGAAGUCUCAUUUUGUGUUCCAGCAGGGUCUGUGUUAUAGCAUCAUGCAUGGCAAUCCACUCUUGGCUGGAUGUCUGAAGUAAAACUGGAAAGACCUCGCAGAGAGUAGAGAGUAUUAGUUAGCUGAGACCUAUAGACAUGCAUGUAGUGUUAAAGCAGUCUCUUGAUUCUUGUGCAAUAGCCAUUAAUUGCCAAUGUCUUUCAACUUGCUAGUAGAUUUUGCAAGUGUGUAUAUCCUGUAGACAUUUGGUAAAUAAAAGUGUUUUUUUUUUUUUUUAAAUGCUUGCUGAAUGGGAGUAUCUAAUAAAAAUGUCCAGGUCACCAUAAGAGAAAAAUACUAUAUUUAAUAUUUGCAUAAUGCAAAUGAAGCCUGUUUUUAAGGCUCUGUGAUUUUUUUUUUUUUUUUUUUUGUCACAAUGCAAAAAAUCUUGAUGGUACAAAAUAGGCUUAAUUUUCCUAAAGCUAAAUGUAAUUUUGUAUUUAUUUUUUUUAAUGAAUUUAUUUUGGGGUGAUAAAAGACAGGUUUCAUGAAACUGCUGGUUUUCUUUUUCAGCAUUGGCAUACUACUGUAUGAAUUGUGCCUUUGAACCCUUGUAAAUUGUCAAUAGAAAAAUGAAUGUACUACCCAACUGAAUAUACAAACUGACUGGCUGUAUUUUUACUGGAACAAAGAAUGUGUUCUGAAAAGAGACUAUGUAUACAGAGUUUUAUUUUUGUAUUGUGAGUUUUGCUGGUUUGGAAAACCGUGUGCACAACCCAUCUUAUGCACUAUAAGGCGCAUGAAUGUCAUAGCUUACAGAUACAGAUCCAAAACAUGCUUCUUUGCACCCCAGUGAUAUGCUGAGUUGCUGUAUAUACAACUGCUCUGAGGACAAAUGCCUUAUAAUGUUGUACUGGUAUAGGUUAAAAGAUGAUCAAUUAUGUAUAUUUGAUUGCAUUUUUUUUUCAUUAUUAGAACUGUUUUUUUCAGUGAAAGAUGGAAUUGUUAGGUCCAGAAAUUAAAUGUACACUAUUGUUUGAUUUUUAUUUUUUAUGUGGUUGAGCUAAAAUAUAUUGAUAAUGCAUUAA